AGGACGAACGCUGGCGGCGUGCUUAACACAUGCAAGUCAAGGGGGCCCAGCAAUGGGCAACCGGCGAACGGGUGCGUAACACGUGAGCAACCUACCGAAAUGUGGGGGAUAGCCGGCCUAACGGCCGAGUAAUACCGCAUACGCUCUCGAUGAGGCAUUUCAUUGAGAGGAAACCUACGGGACAUUUCGAGGGCUCGCGGCCUAUCAGCUAGUUGGCGAGGUACGCUCACCAAGGCAACGACGGUAGCUGGUCUGAGAGGAUGGCCAGCCACA
rnacentral:rRNA from 1 species